AAACAAGCAAAUGAUGACAAGGCUAACUCAAAGAGUA
rnacentral:sRNA from 1 species